UUCCUACGGGAGGCAGCAGUGGGGAAUAUUGCACAAUGGGGGAAACCCUGAUGCAGCGACGCCGCGUGAGUGAAGAAGUAUUUCGGUAUGUAAAGCUCUAUCAGCAGGGAAGAAAAUGACGGUACCUGACUAAGAAGCCCCGGCUAACUACGUGCCAGCAGCCGCGGUAAUACGUAGGGGGCAAGCGUUAUCCGGAUUUACUGGGUGUAAAGGGAGCGUAGACGGCAUGGCAAGUCAGAUGUGAAAGCCUGGGGCUCAACCC
rnacentral:rRNA from 1 species